rnacentral:lncRNA from 1 species
AACAUCACUUCCUCUUUCUGUUCUGACAUCAUCAAUCCACUUUGUAGUUUGCUGGAAUGAGUUAACAUUUGUGAUAUCGUAAACUACUACAGCUGCAGCAGAAUCACGGAUGUACCUGGGAAUGAGGCUACGGAGACGUUCCUGACCCGCCGUAUCCCACAGCCGAAGCCCGAUUGUUCCAUCCUCCAAGAACACCAGCUUGAAUUUCCUCAGCGGAUUCCCGAAGUCUCCGCCCGCGGACAUGGUGGAACUAGAGGAGCUGUCGCCGCCUCAGCCCAGAGACCUCCCGGACCGAUGCUCCUCCAGCCGGCUGACGAAAAAGGAAAUAGCAAUGUUUUUUGAGUAUGGCAAGUGUUUCCAAGCAUUCAGAAGUGGAGAGUGUAGGAUAUCCACUGCAAAAUGAGGUCUGCUUGUCAUCCUCUUAGUCUCCACUGCUAUCCCUCCCUCAUCUCUCUCUGUUUCAUUGAGACCAAAAGACUAGGAGCCUGGCUUCUAGUUUUCAAAAGAGCUAAGUGACUGACCUAGGCUGAUGACUCGCAAUCCUCGUUUUACAGUUGAACCACCUGAGGAGCUUUUUCAAAAUACACAUGUCUGGUUUCCAGACCCAGAGAUUCUGAUUGGAUGAGAAAACUGAUUUGGAGAGAUACUGAGUGAUUUGCCCAGGUCACAGCUGGCAUAAAGGCAACACAAGUGGUCAGGCUCAGCUACUCUGGUUCCUACAGACUUUCCCCUUUGGGAUAGCGUCUCUCACCAUCUUGACUGCUUACCAACAGAAGCGCCAAAACCAAACUUGAGGAUGUCCACAAGCUUGCUCUACACUUCUACAUUCAUCCUCAUCUUUUUUGUGUGUGUUUGUGGGGUAGGGGAGGUGCAGUGUUUACUCAGUGAUCUUUCUACUUUCUAGAAAGUGUCUGUCCUUCAAAACUAUUUAAGAGCCUCUCAUUAGUCAUUUUUUCUCUUAUAUGCUCUGGUUGAGCUUGAAUAGACCAGUUGUUGCUUAAGAAAGAAACUGAAAAGAUUUUAGCUUUUCAGUCCUAUUUGGCAGAGGACUUCAGCUACCUUCUUAUGGUCUUUGGCUGUGUUGGUGCCCUCAUGUGCUCUGGGCUAAGCCACAUACUAAAUUGACUUUUUGGUUUGUAUACCCUUGCUCUCGCCUUCUGAUGAAAACACCUUACCCUCACCACCACCAUCUUUGCUCUCCUUUCCCAAAACUCUUUCCGCCUUGCUGCACUAAGAUAGUGACACCUCCACCACACGUCAAUUCCACACACAUUUAUUAGGUACCUGUGAAGCAGGAUCUUAUCCUCUUAAACUUCCACUUCUCACACUAGAGAGAAAGAUAAGGAAGAUGAGCAAGUGCCUGGAAUGGGGCAGGCUGAGUGGUCACACAGGCACAGAGGCACACUGAGAACCUACAGGGGAGACUGCAGAGUGCCUUCCCUGAUGCUGCAGCUGGAAGUCAUCCUUCCCUCCACCUGGCCCCUGAGACACUCUACUCUGUAGUGUGCAGUCUGAUGGCACUGCUAGAUUUCUUUUUCAGCUCAGGGCCACAGCUUAAACAGCUUUACCUUUCCCCUCAGCACCUGUCCCACUACCUUGCACACAGGUACUCUAUCCGUGUUUAUUGAACAAAGGAGGGAAACUGAUUUCACUUUCACUUGUUCAUUAUCAUUCCAAUUUUUAUGUGAAAAUGGCACAACCCAUUUGGGGUACACUCAUCUCAAAAGAAAAGCCCAAGACUACCUCUGACUGGUACCACCUUUUUUGUGGGUUCCUUGGUGAGAAACCUUUAUCUUUUUCAUACUUUUCUAUUCUCCAUCACUUCUCCAAAAGUGUCUCUUUCCAGCUCUGAUUUAUUCAAAACACACAAACAUUCCUGUUUAGAGAUUCUAGCCCAUGGAUUAUCCGGCUAGUUAGUACCUCUCCUGUUCACUUGGUUAUACUUUAUUAUUGCUCAGAGGUUGGGGAGGCAGAAUGACUGUGUCCCCUCACCCUGGCAGAAUGACUGUGUCACCACUAGGAGCCAUUAGGGCUUCUUCCCAGGAGGACUGCCUGCUUGCUUUCUGGGGACUAGCCCUUAUUUCCCUUCUGUGGUCCAGUGGGGCAAGUGAUUUGUAUUAGACAAAUAUUUAUAAGAAACAACCCCCUCCCCAAAAUAGAGCCACCAAGUAAAGCACAAGCCUGAAAGAUGAUGAACUAUGAAUUGUCUCUAGUGGAUAUAAAUUUCUGCAAAUAUAUCUCAGUCUUUCUCUCUUUUCUCUGGUGAUUAAAAAGUUGGUUUUUGGUAAGGAAAAGGAUUUUUGACCAUAGAGUUAUGCAUCAUGGAAAUUCAAACCCGAUUUCUUAAUACCUGGUCUUCUCCGAAGAGAAAUAAUGAUAGUAAUAGUGGUGCUGGGAACAAUAUGGAAGAUUAUUGAAUGAAAUGGAUUAACUUGAAUAAAAUGCUGUGAAUUAUCUCUA